rnacentral:rRNA from 1 species
GACUACCAGGGUAUCUAAUCCCGUUCGCUCCCCUAGCUUUCGCGUCUCAGCGUCAGUGGUGGGCCAGAAAGCCGCCUUCGCCACGGGUGUUCCUCCUGAUAUCUACGCAUUUCACCGCUACACCAGGAAUUCCACUUUCCUCUCCCACACUCAAGCCCUCCAGUAUCAAAUGCAGUUCUGCGGUUGAGCCGCAGGAUUUCACAUCUGACUUAAAGAGCCGCCUACACGCGCUUUACGCCCAAUAAAUUCGGACAACGCUCGCCCCCUACGUAUUACCGCGGCUGCUGGCACGUAGUUAGCCGGGGCUUUCUCUACAGGUACCGUCACAUUCUUCUUCCCUGUAGGACAGAACUUUACAUCCCGAAAGACUUCAUCAUUCACGCGGCGUCGCUGCAUCAGGGUUUCCCCCAUUGUGCAAGAUUCCUCACUGCAGCCCCCCGUAGG